rnacentral:rRNA from 1 species
CUCGGAUCAGGUGGGGAUACCCGCUGAACUUAAGCAUAUCAAUAAGCGGAGGA